rnacentral:rRNA from 1 species
AGUGAACGCUGGCGGUAGGCCUAACACAUGCAAGUCGAGCGGCAGCACAGUAAGCGCUUGCUCUUACGGGUGGCGAGUGGCGGACGGGUGAGGCAUACAUCGGAAUCUACUUUUUCGUGGGGGACAACGGAGGGAAACUUACGCUAAUACCGCAUACGACCUACGGCUGAAAGCAGGGGAGCUUCGGACCUUGCGCGUUUCAAUGAGCCGAUGUCGCAUUAGCUAGUUGGCAGGGUAAAGGCCCACCAAGGCGACGAUGCGUAGCUGAUCUGAGAGGAUGAUCGGCCACACUGGAACUGAGACACGGUCCAGACUCCUACGGGAGGCAGCAGUGGGGAAUAUUGGGCAAUGGGCGCAAGCCUGAUGCAGCCAUACCGCGUGAGUGAUGAAGGUCUUCGGGUUGUAAAGCCCUUUUGUUGGGAAAGAACAGCUGUGUAUGAAUACGUCGAUAUUCUGACGGUACCCAAAGAAUAAGCACCGGCUAACUACGUG